GCAACAUACCUUCAAGCGGGGGAUAUGCCAGGGAAACUUGGUGCAACACCCCAUAGCAUUUCGGGACCGCAUGGUCUUGGGAUUAAUAUUUAUAGCUUGGAGAUUGGCAUGCGUGACAUUAGCUAGUUGGCGGGGUAACGGCCCACCAAGGCGACGAUGUCUAGCUGGUCUGAGAGGAUGAUCAGCCACACUGGGACUGAGACACGGCCCAGACUCCUACGGGAGGCAGCAGUAGGGAAUAUUGGACAAUGGGGGGAACCCUGAUCCAGCCAUGCCGCGUGAGGGAAGAAGGUCCUCUGGAUUGUAAACCUCUUUUGGCGGGGGACAAACCUGCACUAUACGUGCAGCUGAGGGUACCCGCAGAAUAAGCACCGGCUAACUCCGUG
rnacentral:rRNA from 1 species